ACGCUGGCGGCGCGUCUUAAGCAUGCAAGUCGAACGGCAAGAGAGAAGCUUGCUUCUCUCCUAGAGUGGCGGACUGGUGAGGAACACGUGGGUAAUCUACCCUUAAGAUGGGGAUAGCUGCUAGAAAUAGCAGGUAAUACCGAAUAGUCUCAAUAUUUCAUAAGAGAUAUUGAGGAAAGGAAGCUACGGCUUCGCUUGAGGAUGAGCUUGCGUCCCAUUAGCUAGUUGGUGAGGUAACGGCCCACCAAGGCGACGAUGGGUAUCCGGCCCGAGAGGGUGAUCGGACACAUUGGGACUGAGAUACGGCCCAAACUCCUACGGGAGGCAGCAGCUAAGAAUAUUCCGCAAUGGACGGAAGUCUGACGGAGCGACGCCGCGUGGAUGAAGAAGGCUGAAAAGUUGUAAAAUCCUUUUGUUGAUGAAGAAUAAGGGUGAGAGGGAAUGCUCAUCUGAUGACGGUAAUCGACGAAUAAGCCCCGGCUAAUUACGUGCCAGCAGCCGCGGUAACACGUAAGGGGCGAGCGUUGUUCGGAAUUAUUGGGCGUAAAGGGCAUGUAGGCGGUUAUGUAAGCCUGGUGUGAAAUCCUGGGGCUUAACCCUAGAAUAGCAUUGGGUACUGUAUAACUUGAAUUACGGAAGGGAAACUGGAAUUCCAAGUGUAGGGGUGGAAUCUGUAGAUAUUUGGAAGAACACCGGUGGCGAAGGCGGGUUUCUGGCCGAUAAUUGACGCUGAGAUGCGAAAGUGUGGGGGAUCGAACAGGAUUAGAUACCCUGGUAGUCCACACUGUAAACGAUGUACACUAGGUGUUGGGGCAAGAGCUUCAGUGCCAAAGCAAACGCGAUAAGUGUACCGCCUGGGGAGUAUGCCCGCAAGGGUGAAACUCAAAGGAAUUGACGGGGGC
rnacentral:rRNA from 1 species